GACGAACGCUGGCGGCGUGCUUAACACAUGCAAGUCGAACGGGAAGGCCCUGCUUUUGUGGUGUGCUCGAGUGGCGAACGGGUGAGUAACACGUGAGUAACCUGCCCUUGACUUUGGGAUAACUUCAGGAAACUGGGGCUAAUACCGGAUAGGAGCUCCUGCUGCAUGGUGGGGGUUGGAAAGUUUCGGCGGUUGGGGAUGGACUCGCGGCUUAUCAGCUUGUUGGUGGGGUAGUGGCUUACCAAGGCUUUGACGGGUAGCCGGCCUGAGAGGGUGACCGGCCACAUUGGGACUGAGAUACGGCCCAGACUCCUACGGGAGGCAGCAGUGGGGAAUAUUGCACAAUGGGCGGAAGCCUGAUGCAGCAACGCCGCGUGCGGGAUGACGGCCUUCGGGUUGUAAACCGCUUUCGCCUGUGACGAAGCGUGAGUGACGGUAAUGGGUAAAGAAGCACCGGCUAACUACGUG
rnacentral:rRNA from 1 species